GGGGAUAUAGCUCAAUGGUAGAGUGCAUGCUUAGCAUGCAUGAGGUCCUGGGAUCAAUCCCCAGUACCUCCA
rnacentral:tRNA from 1 species